CAAGAUAUCCUCUGUCUUUUUGGAUAAACUCAUCACCUCGCAGAUCUUUCCUCUCCAUUUAAUUGUUGCCUGCAUAUCCAAGCUGAAAUCAAGUAACUUUCACAUGAACACAACAUUGACUGCAUUCAUGUUCACAUGUCAAGAGCUUGCUUGUUGUGUAAGCAACGUCACUCCAACACAUAAAUAUUGUGGACAUGUAACAGAAAUCCGAUUGUGGGUUACGAACAGUUCUGUUUACCCAUUUAGAAGCUCCACUCAAUGCUGACUUGAUGUUGACAAGAUCCUGGUGGUGGUGCAAAAU